rnacentral:ribozyme from 1 species
GAGAGAAAGAAAGAGAGAGAACUGAUGAAACAUUGAGAAAACUUGCUACAGGUAUAUUUGCUUCCUUUUCUCUCCUCCUGGUUUGUGGUUGUUGAAAAAAAAAUAAAGUUUUUGUGGGGGUGCCGUUGUGCCGUUCCAUAAAAAAAAAUCAACAACAAAGAAAUGAUCCUUGGCCUCGUUUUGGUUGUCGUUGUUUGUGGAUGAAGAGAAGAAAAAAAAAGC